rnacentral:sRNA from 22 species
CCCAGAGGUAUUGAUAGGUGGUGUCAACUAUAAAGUUGACCACUUGAAUUACACCAACCUGCGCAGAUGCGCAGGUUUUUUUU